UUUUGAUCAUAUAUGACAUAUGAAAAAACGAAAAAAUUAACAAAGACAAAUUGAUGAUGAUCAUCAUCAUGAUGGAUGACUCAUUCGAACAUCCGGACUUGAAACAAGAUAAUUUAUUUUGAAGCAAUUCAAUCAACGACAACAACAACAACAGCAGCAGCAGAAAAAAACGUUUGAGAACCUGUUAUUUGCAAAAAAAUACAGUAACAGAGUUGUCAAUUAUAUCAACCCAUUCAUUCAUUUACAUUCAAAUGAUAUGAUAAUGAUUAAUACGUGUAAGAAUUAUUACUAAAAUUAAUCUUUUCUUUCUUUUUUUUGUUGUCUUAAAAGAUAAUAAUAAUAUAAAUGGUAAUAUGACGACAAUGACGACAACAACAAACCAGGUCAAUGUUGGUAGUAGAUUUCUUAACCAAAAAAACCACCAACUUUUUUCUCUCUUUAUUUGUAAAAUCACACACAAUUUGAGUUUGACGUAAUUGUAUAUAUAAAAUGGUUGGUUUGAAACGCCUAAUAAUAAGAUUGUGAUGAUGAACAAUUUUAUUAUUGCAAUACAACAAAAUAACUGCCAUAUCAUCAUGAUAAUCGUACAUUGUCAUAUGUGGAAUUUGACCCCAUAAUUUUAAUUUAUUCAUCAAUGAUUAUUGAUCAUCAAUUAUUGAUUUUUGUUCAACGAAAA